rnacentral:snRNA from 1 species
GCCCUUCAGGGCAUACUGCAAAAAGAAAAUAUACAGAGAAGAUUAGUAUGGCCCCUGCACUAAGGAUGAGAUGACUCAAUCAAAGAGAAGAACCUAUUUUCU